rnacentral:rRNA from 1 species
CCUACGGGUGGCAGCAGUGGGGGAUAUUGCACAAUGGGGGGAACCCUGAUGCAGCGACGCCGCGUGGGUGAAGGAGCGUUUCGGCGCGUAAAGCCCUAUCGGCAGGGAAGAAGAUGACGGUACCUGGCCAAGAAGCCCCGGCUAACUACGUGCCAGCAGCCGCGGGAAUACGUAGGGGGCAAGCGUUAUCCGGAUUUACUGGGUGUAACGGGGGCGCAGACGGCAAUGCAAGCCAGGAGUGAAAGCCCGGGGCCCAACCCCGGGACUGCUCUUGGAACUGCAUGGCUGGAGUACAGGAGGGGCAGGCGGAAUUCCUAGUGUAGCGGUGAAAUGCGUAGAUAUCACGAAGAACCCCGAUUGCGAAGGCAGCUUACUAAACUGUGACUGACAUUGAUGCUCGAAAGUGUGGGUAUCAAACAGGAUUAGAUACCCUUGUAGUC